rnacentral:rRNA from 1 species
GACGAACGCUGGCGGCAUGCCUAACACAUGCAAGUCUAGGGGUAGCAAUACCACUGGCGCACGGGUGAGUAACACGUAGGUUAUCUGCCCCCAUCACAGACAUAACCCCGGGAAACCGGGGCUAAUAUCUGAUGAGGUCGCGAGAUCAAAGCUUCGGCGGAUGGGGAUGAGCCUGCGGCUGAUUAGCUAGUUGGUGAGGUAAUGGCUCACCAAGGCGACGAUCAGUAGCUGGUCUGAGAGGACGAACAGCCACACUGGAACUGAGACACGGUCCAGACUCCUACGGGAGGCAGCAGUGAGGAAUAUUGGUCAAUGGGAGCAAUCCUGAACCAGCAAUGCCGCGUGUGGGAUGACAGGGCUUCGCCUUGUAAACCACUGUCGGACGGGACGAAAGGAGGCCUCGGGCCUCUGGGACGGUACCGUCAAAGGAGGUACGGCUAACUACGUGCCAGCAGCCGCGGUAAU